GUUUUAGGUUUUUGAAGUUCCAAUGCCAUAUUGGACACACAUAGAAUGUCGCUUUGCUGCAGUGGGGUUUCUUAAGUGUGGAGGAACUUGAGCAAGGUUUGGAGGAGGACAUGUAUAGAGUGGUGGAAGAAUAGUAGACAAGGGAUUUGGGUUGAUAAGAUUAGGAUUUUCCUCUAGGGAAGAUGAGAGAUAGUCUGAAAAUGUUGCAUCAGACGAAAUGUGUGGUGGAGAUGGUCGUGGUGGAAGAGAGGGUGAACGAUUCAUGGAUUCUGAUGAUGGACAAGAUGAGGAUGGUGAGUAGGGGAAAGCAUUUUUGCAUGCUGAGG
rnacentral:lncRNA from 1 species